GAAACCAACAGGGAUUGCCUUAGUAGCGGCGAGUGAAGCGGCAAAAGCUCAAAUUUGAAAUCUGGCACUUUCAGUGUCCGAGUUGUAAUUUGAAGAAGGUAUCUUUGGGUCUGGCUCUUGUCUAUGUUUCUUGGAACAGAACGUCACAGAGGGUGAGAAUCCCGUGCGAUGAGAUGUCCCAGACCUAUGUAAAGUUCCUUCGAAGAGUCGAGUUGUUUGGGAAUGCAGCUCUAAGUGGGUGGUAAAUUCCAUCUAAAGCUAAAUAUUGGCGAGAGACCGAUAGCGAACAAGUACAGUGAUGGAAAGAUGAAAAGAACUUUGAAAAGAGAGUGAAAAAGUACGUGAAAUUGUUGAAAGGGAAGGGCUUGAGAUCAGACUUGGUAUUUUGUAUGUUACUCUCUCGGGGGUGGCCUCUACAGUUUACCGGGCCAGCAUCAGUUUGAGCGGUAGGAUAAGUGCAAAGAAAUGUGGCACUGCUUCGGUAGUGUGUUAUAGUCUUUGUCGAUACUGCCAGCUUAGACUGAGGACUGCGGCUUCGGCCUAGGAUGUUGGCAUAAUGAUCUUAAGUCGCCCGUCUU
rnacentral:rRNA from 1 species